CUUAUUGUGGCUUGAACUUGGACUUCCCUAAUGGUCAACUAUGGUGAACAGAGGAAACACCGCGUCCUGGAGGAAAUAAUGUCUUCUGGAUAGAUCUUAGGUGCAGCCCUUGUGGCACUUCUGUGUUCCAAAUCUUAGAACGUUGUUGCUGGAAGGCAUCACAGAAAAGCUCUACCUCAGCGUUUCCCAAAAGUGUGCUCCAUGGACCCUGAAGGCACCCUGUGAUUAAAGGGUUCUGUGGCCAAGUGGGUUGGCGAAGACUGCAGACUUCUCUGUUCCCCUCCUUCCUCUUGAUACUUUGUUAAAGGUUCUGAGAAGGUUUGCAGCCAAUAAAU